GCUGGUGCUCCGAGAAAUAGAGAAUCGGGCAAAGUUCCUGUCCUGUGGAGCUGACCGUCGGAAAAAUCCUCUACACACAAAGAAGGCUGGCAGAAUAGCAGCUGAUCCUCAGUGGGAGCUCAAAGAGCGAAGGGAGCCCAACUAGAAAGACAUUCCAAAAAUGGCUGCAUGGUAUUUAGAGAUCUGGGUACCAGCUGCACUGUGCACAUAUUUGCAGAGGCUUCUGUUCAGCUAAGAAUGGGCUGUGGAUUCAGGAAGCUUAAUCAAAGCGGUGGCUCAGAAGUAACUGUUCAGUCUCCAGCAAAGCAGAUGAGAAAUGCAAUUGGUCUCAACCAGAUGAACCAGGUGCUCUUCGAUCUCUGAGCCUUCUAAUGAUCUUGCAAUGAUACUGGCUUCCUCAGGAGAAACAGUCGGUUUUGGGGAACAAUUUCAGAAAGACUCAGCUGCCGUUUUCAGAAGUGAUCUAGCACCAACUUCUUAAUGUCGUUUGGGUACUUACCGCUGCAGUUAGAUACACGGUGGGGUUUUCAGAGCUGUGUAGCCUCCUGCCACCUUGGGUGCCCGUGGUAAAUUUUUUCACCCUUUGUGAGUCACUUCUGUCUCAUUUCUGAUUCACUGCUACAGCAGAGCCAUGUCCGAGUGCCCGGGGAGGCUCCCUUAGUUUGACCCCAGCUUGACCAAUGUGUUUGGCCCCAUCACUCAGGGUCAUUUCUCUCUUAGACACUCCUUACUAUGUGGCCUCACUAGCAUUUUCCCUGGUUUUCAGGAACACCAGCCACAUGUGCUACCCUUCCACAACAGAAGGACCUCAUCCUCAAAGCCUGUGUUAAUCCCUUCAUUUCCCCUUGUUCAAGCACACUCUUUCCCAGAGGUCCAGCCUUGUUCAGCAGGAGGGUAUCUAUUCAAAAGAGGUCCUUUAGGUUUGUCUAAAACUAUUAACAACAGACCUGGACAAAACAAUAAAUGAGGAAACCUGCAUUGGUUUCCUCACUGCUCUACAGUGUAUUGUGGGUCUUGGUCAGCAUCUUUGAGAUGUCCAGGUUUCCCUCAGCUCAUGGCUUCUCCCCCAGGUUAUACAGUCUCUCUUACUCCUGCCAACAUUUUGUUGUUCUUUUUCCAGACUGAUUGGUGAGGGACUGUCAUCUCUCAUCUCCUUUGUCACAUAUGUCCUUCAUCAGGUCUGUCCAUCAGUGCUAUCAGACAAUCCCAGCCUUCCACUAGACAAUUAAUUCCCACCUCUUUGAAGUCUGCACUUGAAAAAUUGUUUUCCUGAAUGGUAACCAUCUCUUUUUUCCCAGUAGUCCUCCAUUUGAAUAGAUGAGCAUCAGAGUUUAGCAGCCCUCCCUUCUAGUCCUGGAUAAGAUGGAAGAAUUUAUCCUGUCACACGGUGUGGGUUUUAUCUCCACAUAGGGACAGGGAAGCAACUAACUCCCACACUCAGAUCAAAUUUUAAGUCUGAAAUGAGUAAAUAUGUAAAAUGCAAGUCCCUAACACUGAAUUUGCAAAAUCUCUGUAGACUUUCUAAAUUAUUUCAGGCUAGUUUACUGAAAUUAAAUUACAUAAAAGUCAUACAAAACAGCACAACGUUAUGUAAAACUCUACAAAACAAGUGCUGUGAUUUUAACUGAGUUGAACAAAUAAAACAUUAAGUGUAAUUUUUGUUCAGGGCCAUGUGUUAGCUUUUGAAAACAAAAAGGAAAUAAAUGAACCAAGUCACACAAAACAUAUGUCUGCAGAAUAAUGAUAAAACAUAUACUGUAUCUGGACAACUUGUAAGUGUGGUUUUAAUUCUUGCUGCUGUUGUGGCUGGAGGCUUUUGCUGUGCAAAAAAGGCUACACUGUGUUCAUAUUAAAGUACAGAAUGUUUUUUAUUCCUACUGCAUCAGGAAUAAUGUAAUCCUCUUGCGAUAAUGUGGUGGGUUCUGAGUCCUUCAGCUGAGACACCUUCCUGGGGAGAGCUAGAAACUUUGCAGAAAGACACCGUUCAGUCCUGCUGACUGUCUGUGAUACAAGUUACCUAUCAACCUACCUAGGAUAUGAAGGAGACUGGCUUUGCCUUUGGUGUACAAAACCCUAAAAUUUGAGACUAAGAAGUCCAAAGGAAGGGUCAGCGUGUGACCAGCUGAAUUUAAGCAGUCUGAUACCAGAAUUUCUGUCACUAUGCUCUUGGAGUUGUUUCGUUAAAAAAGCCGUAUGGGAAGCAGUGCGUUUCUGUUCUCCCUAUCAAGUGCAGACUGCAUUUUGGGAAGAGAGGCUGUGGUGGUGACUCUGACUAUGCCAGGAACACUCUCUUGCAAUAUAUGGGAUAGAAAGGCACUUGCCUCUCUUGGCAUGUAAUGAUUCAUGCCAGGAUGAACCAAAAAGGCAUGGUCAGAGGUAUUAACAAGGUCCCUUUGGUAGCUAAAGAUCUGUCUAUUCCCCAGAUUCAUCAUUGCCUUACCAUCUGUCAUCCUAUCAUCUGCCUGAACUUGUCUUCCACAGCGGCUACGCCAUCCUGAACCCUGGCUCCCAUGGAUUGCUUCUUGGAGCACAAGUACCAUACCUUGCAAUUCUGCUGUUGCAUCUUUGACAUUCUCAGGGCAGUGCAGUUGUGGUGCAUUUCUGUCAGUGUUCAGGGCAUGGGCCAAGAGUAUAACAUCUUAAUUAGUUUUUUCUUGUUGAGCAUGAUUUCAUAUUGUAGGUACAUGUGUUUAGCUGUCAGCUUGAUUCUUGCAACAAAAGGAAAAACAAAGCAGUAAUAAAUAGAGAAGUUGCACAAGCCACUCUUUAAAUAAUGGCAUUGGGUGGAACAUGUGAAAUAAGAGCUGUGGCUACAAAGCAGAUUACUGCUUCCUAUUCCUCCUAUGAACAUGAUAUAAAUUAUAGCUGUUUAAACUGAUGCAGCAACCAAGGAGAAUACUGAAAGCCUGAAGAUGCCUCUGUAUCCCUCCCACUACUCCUGUUCCAGGUUUGUAGACUGAGAAAUACAGAACCGAGCCCCAAGCCUUGUCCUCUUCCACUGAAGAUUGGUUUAGUUCCGGUGUACUGAGCAAAAGCAUUGCGAAUUCACGCUCGUAGUUCCUGAUGUGACAGUCACUCAUGCUGCGUAGGGCUUUGAGGUCUCAAGUCAUGAAGAACUGAGUAAUCAGGCAUUGACUUUUCAGUAUUCUUUUGAAUGGGUGUGGGAAGGGGAUUUCUAAAUACUUAAAGAAAUCAGGCCUUAAAAAUGGAGGCAUGGUAUUCCAAAAAUAUGGAAACAUAGCUUUUAAAAGCCUUCCAUCCUUUCAGGUUUUAAAACUCUUAGUUUAGAUUUAGAAGGUAAUGACUCAUUUUUGCAGCAUUUCAUUGUAUCACAUGAAAUAUCUUUUUUGGUGAAGGCAGGUUAAUGUGACCAGUAGAUGCGUAUUCAUCUGUCAGUACAUUUGAAAUCAAUGAGUAGUUUAAAUGAUUAAUACCAUUCCAGAUUUCUUCAAACAUCAUCAUUUAACAUUAAGCCACAAAUAUCUUCUUUUUAAAACAACAUUUCUUCAGAUGUUUGUUUUUGAAACUGUGGUGGUAUCAUAUACCUGAAAUAUAAAUGCAUUUAGAGUGGCAGAAUGUCCUCAUGGUUUUUUGUAUUAUAAAUGCUUCCAAACAGAUACUGUAAAAUCUAUAUUUUGAAGCCCUGAAUUCCACAGGAUUCCUACAGGUCUGUCCAGAUUAUAUAAAAAAAUGAAAAGAAAUACUGAAUUUUAGUCUUUCCUAUAGAAGUCAUUGACACAACUUCUUCUGACUUCAUUAUUUACAUGCCAGUAUCACAAAAUUCUGGAAAGAAAGAGCAAAAUGAGUUCUUUGGGACAGAGGUAAGAGAGAUAUGAAAUGCCACAUGCCAGAGCAAUUCUCGUAGUCCCCAGCUCACGCUUUGCCAUACUUUUUCCUGGGGACUUCUCUGACUUGGGCAGUGAGUUAUCAUGAUGAUUUAUUCUGAUGCCCCACAGCUGACCCCAAGCUCUCCUCUUUCUGGAGAGCCUCACGUGCCCUUCCUUGUCAUGAGAUCAUACGCGUCUACUGCAGAUGGCAGCAUGUAAGAACAACCUUCUUGCCUCAGAGCAGAAAGGGACAAAAAUGUCAAGCACUAUGGGUGUAUGAGACAAAACCAGUUUCAAACCCAAAAGAUCUUGGUACCUCCAUUUUAGGGUAUUUUAGCUAACUAGACACAUUUGAAACUCUUGUCCCUAACAUGUAUUUUUGCAGAAGUGUCCUACACUUAAUGAUAGUACAGUAGUAAUCCCUAGGACUUUCUUCCUUCACAGAUUGAAGUUAUAACCUCAUUUUGGUUGUGAAUUAACUUGUAUUAUCAUCUAGGGCAAAUAAUGCUCUAGAUCAAAAUGUUACCGACAAAUUUGUUGUUUACUUGAAUCUAAGUCACAUAAACAUGACCUGUGAACUUUUUGAGGAAGAAGCUCCUUUUUCACAUGCAUUUUCCACCAGAAAAACAAGAACUUGGAGAUGAUCUUUUCCACAAUUGUUUGCUUAAUCAUCAACAUC